CAUGCAAGUCGAACGAUGAAGAUAUUUAGAUUCCUUCGGGAUGAAAAAUAUUGGAUUAGUGGCGGACGGGUGAGUAACGCGUGAGUAACCUGCCUUACACAAGGGGAUAGCCGUUGGAAACGACGAAUAAUACCCUAUGACAUAAACUCUUCGCAUGAAGAGCUUAUCAAAGAUUUAUCGGUGUAAGAUGGACUCGCGUCUGAUUAGCUAGUUGGUGAGGUAACGGCCCACCAAGGCAACGAUCAGUAGCCGGCUUGAGAGAGUGUACGGCCACAUUGGGACUGAGACACGGCCCAGACUCCUACGGGAGGCAGCAGUGGGGAAUUUUGCACAAUGGGGGAAACCCUGAUGCAGCGACGCCGCGUGAUUUAGAAGGCCUUCGGGUUGUAAAAAUCUUUUGUAUGGGAAGAAAAUGACAGUACCAUACGAAUAAGGACCGGCUAAUUACGUGCCAGCCGCCGCGGUAAUU
rnacentral:rRNA from 1 species